AAAAUAAGGUAAAACACUGCACAGAUCUAAGCGUGCCGAAAUCUCCUCUUUCAGAUUGGACUCACUGAUGCUUUCAGCACCUUCGCGAAGACUAACCCGAGUGGAGCGGUGGUCAUCCUGCACAUUCUUUGAAGAUUGGACUCACUGAUGCUUUCAGCAGCUUCGCGAAGACUAAGAUGAGUGGAGCGGUGGUCAUCCUGCACAUUCUUUAAAGUGAUCAGUACCUGGUGGAGUUACUGGAGGAUGGAGGCGUUCUCACUCUGCUGGACAUCUUGAGCCAAUCUCAGAGCAAAGAGGAGGAGAAGGCAGAGGCCCUCCGUCUUCUGCUCGCUGUCUCAAAUGCUGGUCGCAAGUACAAAGAGGUGUGAAAGUCACAGCAGAGUGCCUGGCUAAGUCAAAUGCAGAUGAAACCCAAGAGACAGUAUGCGCCCUCCUGGAGUCCCUGUCAUGUGGGAACCCCAAACAUUGAAACCAAAUCCACAAAGUGGUUCUUGGAGAGAGAAGAAUAAAAAACAGCGUUUUAACUUGAGUUCACCAACGUGGAAAUGAAGACAGGCUCGAUGUCAACACAGGAAGAACAAGCUAACAUUGGCAAAGUACUGAGUUUUCUCCGCGAGUGGGACCGAGGUGACAGGACAGUCCGCAGCCGCAUGUUGAACACCUUCCUGACUCAACACAAAGGGAAGACAUGUCAUGAGCUGGAGCUGGAAUUUGCUCAGGUUGCCAGUCUGUUCCUGGCUCGACUCACCACCUGGAUGAGACUCACAUACAUGUUUGGGACAUUCUUGGGACUGCAGCUUAAAGCUAUUGGGGUUUUCCUGUCUGCAUCAAGCCAUGAUCAGUACCUGAUGGAGUUCCUGGAGGAUGGAGGUGCUCUCACCCUGCUGGACAUCUUGAGCCAAUCUCAGAGCAAAGAGGAGGAAAAGGCAGAGGCCCUCUGUCUUCUGCUUGCCAUCUCAAAUGCUGGUCGCAAGUACAAAGAGAUCAUCUGUGAAAGCCAUGGUGUGAAAGCCACAGCAGAGUGCCUGGCUAAGUCAAACGCAGAUGAAACCCAAGAGACAGCAUGUGCCCUCCUGGAGUCCCUGUCACAUGGAAACCCCAAAUACCAAAACCAAAUCUACAAAGGUCUGAUUGCUCUAAUGACUUGUACCUCCCCUAUGGCCCAGCAGCUGGUCUUGCACACCUUACGCACUGUGCAGUCCAAAAUGAAAACAGCCCAUCACAGCAUUGUAGAGCCUCUGCUGAAUACGCUCAGGUCACCGCACCUGGAGGUUCAGGAUGAAGCUAUAAAUCUGAUCUUGGAGUUGAAGUGUUACGAUGUGAGGCCGCUGCUGCUCAGCGGACUGGUGGCUCUGCUGAGACCUACGCAAGAGGAAGUGAAACAGCACCAGAUUAUGGAAGGGUAUACAAUCCCAUCAGAGUGUGAGAUAAUCAAGAUGACUGAAUCUCUGCCUGUGUUUGUGCAACAAGCUGCUGCAGCCAAAACUAUACGCUUGUUGACUGAGGACAGCCAAGAGGUUUCUCAUGAGCUUCUCUCUCUUGGAGUGAUCCAACAUCUUCUGUAUGCUAUAGGCAACAGAGAACACACUGAUGCUCAAAUACAAGCCAGUCUGGCUUUGAAGCACUUUGUCUGCUUAUACCCAGUUAUCGAGGAACGUGUGCAGAGGGGCAUUGGUGGCACACUGUUUGCAGCCUUUAUGGUGAGAUUUAAUAACUUUGUAAAUGCUAAGAUAGCAUCAGUUAAAAGGUUAAUGUGGACGCUGAUAGAAGGCAGUACUAACAGAUCCAAUCCCCUCUCUUCAGCACCAUGGUGACACUUUGUACAUGAAUAUGGACGAAACACAAGCAGAAAUCCUGCUAACUAACAAGGUUAACAUAACUGAAGUUUUGGAUGGUGACACUAAAGGCUGACAAGAAGGACAAAUCCUUUUAAUAAUGCUGAUUGAAUAAAC